AUUGAACGCUGGCGGCAGGCCUAACACAUGCAAGUCGAGCGGAGCGGCGGACGGGUGAGUAAUGCCUAGGACUCUGCCUGGGAGUGGGGGAUAACGUCAGGAAACGGGCGCUAAUAUCGCACACUAUCAGAAGAGCCUAUGUCGGAUUAGCUAGUUGGGGGGGUAAAGGCCGACCAAGGCGACGAGCCGUAACUGGUCUGAGAGGAUGAUCAGUCACACUGGAACUGAGACACGGUCCAGACUCCUACGGUAGGCAGCAGUGGGGAAUAUUGGACAAUGGGCGAAAGCCUGAUCCAGCCAUGCCGCGUGUGUGAAGAAGGUCUUCGGGUUGUAAAGCACUUUAAGUUGGGAGGCGUGACCGACAGAAUAAGCACCGGCUAACUUCGUGCCAGCAGGCGCGGUAAUUC
rnacentral:rRNA from 1 species